GCGCCGCGACGAACGCAAGCCGCCAACCCCCGUGUUCCCCCCUUCCCCAACCAGCCUCCUCGUCCUCCCCGCCCCCCCGGCAGUGCGGCUCCGGCUCCGAGCCACCGGCGCCGGCCAUUGCGGGUCGGUUCGUCCGAGAGUCGCCCCGCCCACGGUGCUCUCCGAAUCGCGCCGCCAUUGCUUGCCCACUUCACAUUUUCCAGCGAAUCACUUGGGCAACGGUAGUCUGAACUCUGAAGGCUGGGUGUUUGUUUUCAGUAUUUUACCUCUUCUUCGGUGCUCACUUUUUCUGGCAAUGCUGAGGCGCCAAAUGGUUGCCCAAGUGAAUUGAGGCAGAUGGAUCGAACCCGUCUCCAGAAAGCUGCCGAGACCACUAUUUUGGAUGAAACGAACGAGAGCGAUCUGGAUCUACCCGUGGAUUGAGUUAAGUCUUCUCCAAGAUUUUCCUGGGCCUGCCUGUCAUAUGUACUGAGAUGUCGAUCAUCAGUUGUCCGUCGCCUUACAUGUCAAAAUAUCAGAUCCUGAAUCUGACAUUUUAUUCAGAUGUUUUGUUGACAAGCCGUGGAAACCAACUUAAAAAGUCAAUAUAAAUGUUCCUGAAGCUGUUCAGUGUGGACAGUGACCACAUUGAUA